rnacentral:rRNA from 1 species
AAAUUGAAGAGUUUGAUCAUGGCUCAGAUUGAACGCUGGCGGCAGGCCUAACACAUGCAAGUCGAACGGUAACAGGAAGCAGCUUGCUGCUUUGCUGACGAGUGGCGGACGGGUGAGUAAUGUCUGGGAAACUGCCUGAUGGAGGGGGAUAACUACUGGAAACGGUAGCUAAUACCGCAUAACGUCGCAAGACCAAAGAGGGGGACCUUCGGGCCUCUUGCCAUCGGAUGUGCCCAGAUGGGAUUAGCUUGUUGGUGGGGUAACGGCUCACCAAGGCGACGAUCCCUAGCUGGUCUGAGAGGAUGACCAGCCACACUGGAACUGAGACACGGUCCAGGCUCCUACGGGAGGCAGCAGUGGGGAAUAUUGCACAAUGGGCGCAAGCCUGAUGCAGCCAUGCCGCGUGUAUGAAGAAGGCCUUCGGGUUGUAAAGUACUUUCAGCGGGGAGGAAGGGAGUAAAGUUAAUACCUUUACUCAUUGACGUUACCCGCAGAAGAAGCACCGGCUAACUCCGUGCCAGCAGCCGCGGUAAUACGGAGGGUGCAAGCGUUAAUCGGAAUUACUGGGCGUAAAGCGCACGCAGGCGGUUUGUUAAGUCAGAUGUGAAAUCCCCGGGCUCAACCUGGGAACUGCAUCUGAUACUGGCAA